rnacentral:rRNA from 1 species
GGAAUCUUGGACAAUGGGCGCAAGCCUGAUCCAGCCAUGCCGCGUGAGUGAUGAAGGCCUUAGGGUCGUAAAGCUCUUUCGCCAGGGAUGAUAAUGACAGUACCUGGUAAAGAAACCCCGGCUAACUCCGUGCCAGCAGCCGCGGUAAUACGGAGGGGGUUAGCGUUGUUCGGAAUUACUGGGCGUAAAGCGCGCGUAGGCGGAUCGGAAAGUUGGGGGUGAAAUCCCGGGGCUCAACCCCGGAACUGCCUCCAAAACUAUCGGUCUAGAGUUCGAGAGAGGUGAGUGGAAUUCCGAGUGUAGAGGUGAAAUUCGUAGAUAUUCGGAGGAACACCAGUGGCGAAGGCGGCUCACUGGCUCGAUACUGACGCUGAGGUGCGAAAGUGUGGGGAGCAAACAGGAUUAGAUACCCCAGUAGUCC